rnacentral:siRNA from 1 species
UAGGGUUUAGGGUUUAGAGU